rnacentral:lncRNA from 7 species
GCACUACUAUAGUCACAAACAAAUUCAUAGAAGCAGUGGUAGUAUGCCAUCCCUUGUGUAUGUCGCGUGUGUAAGCAAACUAGUUAGAUGUCUGACAAUCCUUCGGUUUCUAAGCAGUGAUAGAGUUUGUUUUAAUAAAACAAAAAAGAUAUGUGUUUUGUUGGUUAGGUGGGUGUGAAUGUGGAGCCAACUACCAAGUUUCGAAUCCUUAUUUUUGCAUAAAGUAGGAAGUCAGGGUUGGCCCUUGCACUAUGUGGGAGAGACGACCGCCUAGGGCCAAAGCAGCAAGGGGCCCAUUUUUUCAAAUGUUAUUUUUAAUAUAGAAUUUUAUUACAUCGUUUCGAAAAAUACAAUAUUAGUCUUUGCCUAUAAAAUUGUGUAUCUUGAGCUUCAUCUAGAUGAAAUUCUCUCUAUGUAUGUUCUUAUCAAAUUAUUGUCAUUUCAUCAAAUUUGCUCAUAUGGUGAGCUACUUUAUUUAAGAUGAAACUCAAACAAAACUUCCACAAGGAAAAGCCUAAGACCAAACCGGACUGCUCGAUCUUCUUCUGAAGGUAUAUUGGUAUGUAUAUGCAUCUUUGAUUAUAUAUCAUGCAUCAUCUAUACAUUAGUAUGGCAGUAUUUGCUAGUAUUUACUUUUCCUUUUGAACUUAGUUCUUGAUCGUAGCCUCACCUGAAAAAACUUUCUCAAAGUUGAAGUUAUUGAAAACUUUUUUAGGUCAACUAUUCCACAAGAAAGAUUAAAUAGCUUAGCUACAUAUUCUAUCAAGAAUGAUAUAUUGGAAACAUUGAUUUGAAAAUUAUAUUAACAUAUUUUGCUU